GUUAUUGAAAUGCAGACCCAAACUCUACCACUGCUUGGUCAAACAAAAAAAAAAGCAGUUUCUUUCAAAAUCGUUAAUGCACAACUCAUAUGAAGGCCAGAAGUAACAAAUCCUUCAUGACAAUACAACCAUCAUCUUCAAGUUCCAGAAGCAGGUUCAAAAUAUCAAAAUGUAUCAGCAAUACAUUUCAACAAAAUCAUAUUGCAUUGAGAGAUAAGAUUCAUUCAAAUGGUAUUUUCACCUUGGUUCAGAAAGCUCUUUUGCCUUUCUGUUUUUCAUUGGCCAGACCAAAUCAUGGAUGCCCAAUCAAUCAAUUCACUUAAAUGAUGCUCUAGAGGAGGGUAGAAACAAAUGUCACUAAAAACCAAGAUUUUGAACCAUACCACAUUUAAGAACUGCUGAACAAAGCAGCUGAUGCAUAUACAGUGUCCGUAAAUGUCACUGUUUGGACAGAUAUCCUCCACUUGCAAACAGGAACACACCGCACCCAUGAUAAUGCUGCCUUCUUAGUUCUUUCUUGUUCGGACUCAGCAGUCAACAAUAACUUCCCAAAAUCAUCAAUGAAAACCCAACAUAUCAGGCAUUCCCAUGAAGAAAAUUCUUUCUUCCAGAAAUAAGAAAUCCAUAUGAGAGAGGACACUAUGCUCGCAGAAAUUA